rnacentral:lncRNA from 1 species
AGCGAUUGAGGGGAUCAUCAUUGUCGGUAUUGAUUCUUGCAGCGGAGUGGUGGUGGUCGGAACCACGGGAUCAAAACCGACGUCGGAUACCAUAUUGAACAUGUUGCUAGUAGCAUUGUUGUUGAGUGAAGCAUCCAUUUGAUAGAGUGGAGGUGAAGGAGAAAUAGAAGACGAUGAGUGAUUGGCAAAACAAUCCUUGA